rnacentral:rRNA from 1 species
UACGUAGGGCGCAAGCGUUGUCCGGAAUUAUUGGGCGUAAAGCGCGCGCAGGCGGUCCUUUAAGUCUGAUGUGAAAGCCCGCGGCUCAACCGUGGAGGGUCAUUGGAAACUGGGGGACUUGAGUACAGAAGAGAAGAGUGGAAUUCCACGUGUAGCGGUGAAAUGCGUAGAGAUGUGGAGGAACACCAGUGGCGAAGGCGACUCUUUGGUCUGUAACUGACGCUGAGGCGCGAAAGCGUGGGGAGCAAACAGG